rnacentral:rRNA from 1 species
UACGUAGGGGGCAAGCGUUGUCCGGAAUUAUUGGGCGUAAAGAGCGUGUAGGCGGUCCGGUAAGUCAGCUGUGAAAGUCAAGGGCUCAACCCUUGAAUGCCGGUUGAUACUGUCGGGCUAGAGUCCGGAAGAGGCGAGUGGAAUUCCCGGUGUAGCGGUGAAAUUCGUAGAUAUCGGGAGGAACACCAGUGGCGAAGGCGGCGAUCUGGGCUGAUACUGACGCUGAGGUGCGAAAGCGUGGGGAGCAAACAGG